ACCUACACACUCACACUUAAGCAUAUGUUAAUAAAUAAAUAAAUAAAAACCACACACCACUUUUCCCCUUCUUCUUUUCUUUGACUCAUUCCUUUAGGUGGUGAGGUGGUUGACUAGCACCCAAACUCCAUUACUACAACUCACAAUAUCCUUCUCUUUCAUCUUUCUUCUUCCAUUCAUAAUCAAUCCCAUAACACCACUUCCUUCUUUGUUCCUUCCCAUUUUCAACAAAACUCUUCAAUCUAUUCCUUUACUCUUUUUUCUCUCUCAAUAAAACACUCAUCAAUAGCCCCAUCUUUGGUUCUUCAUCCUUGCUCAAAUCUAUGGUAAAAGUAUAGUUCUAAGUCAUUUUUGGUGCAUGCAUUAUGAGGAGGUGGAGGGCAAACUAACAAAUGUCAAGGAUUCAAUAAGAAUAAAGUCUAGGAUUUUAUUUUUGGUGGUCUUUUGAAAAGGAAGGAUGUGAUAACUCAAUUUAUGAGAGAACUCUACUGUAAAGUCUUUUGAUAAGACACAUUAUUUAAGUGCUAACCAAGGGACCUAAGUGUCAACGUUCGUCACUAUUCAAACUCUACAAAUUGUGCAAUAUGGAGUAUGUGUCGUGCUUGAGAGACGCUUCAAAUAGGGGUUACAAAGCUGUAAUCCUAACCAUACUAACGAUGGGAAAAACUUAAUCACCUAUAUUACUAACAUUAUAGUAUUUAAAAAUCAAAAUACUAUAUUAUGAAUGUUAUAUACUCUAUUUGGUAUGUUUGAGUUGCUUUGAAAAUUAAGUCUCACUGAGAUUUUCAUCUCAUUACUUUGUUCUCUAAGUUUCAAGAAUCAUUACAAGAAUGAUAGUAUCUUGAUGAUCUAUUUCUUUUGGCA